GGGGCUGUGGCUCAGCAGGCAGAGCGCUCUCCUUGCAUGUGUGAGGCCCUGGGUUCCAUCCUCAGCACCACA
rnacentral:tRNA from 1 species